AUGAACGCUGGCGGCGUGCCUAAUCCAUGCAAGUCGAGCGAACAGACGAGGAGCUUGCUCCUCUGACGUUAGCGGCGGACGGGUGAGUAACACGUGGAUAACCUACCUAUAAGACUGGGAUAACUUCGGGAAACCGGAGCUAAUACCGGAUAAUAUAUUGAACCGCAUGGUUCAAUAGUGAAAGACGGCUUUGCUGUCACUUAUAGAUGGAUCCGCGCCGCAUUAGCUAGUUGGUAAGGUAACGGCUUACCAAGGCAACGAUGCGUAGCCGACCUGAGAGGGUGAUCGGCCACACUGGAACUGAGACACGGUCCAGACUCCUACGGGAGGCAGCAGUAGGGAAUCUUCCGCAAUGGGCGAAAGCCUGACGGAGCAACGCCGCGUGAGUGAUGAAGGUCUUCGGAUCGUAAAACUCUGUUAUUAGGGAAGAACAAAUGUGUAAGUAACUAUGCACGUCUUGACGGUACCUAAUCAGAAAGCCACGGCUAACUACGUG
rnacentral:rRNA from 1 species